rnacentral:rRNA from 1 species
UUACACAUGCAGUCGAACGAUGAACCGCUUUCGGGCGGGGAUUAGUGGCGAACGGGUGAGUAACACGUGGGCAAUCUGCCCUGCACUCUGGGACAAGCCCUGGAAACGGGGUCUAAUACCGGAUAUGACCGUCUGCCGCAUGGUGGAUGGUGUAAAGCUCCGGCGGUGCAGGAUGAGCCCGCGGCCUAUCAGCUUGUUGGUGAGGUAGUGGCUCACCAAGGCGACGACGGGUAGCCGGCCUGAGAGGGCGACCGGCCACACUGGGACUGAGACACGGCCCAGACUCCUACGGGAGGCAGCAGUGGGGAAUAUUGCACAAUGGGCGAAAGCCUGAUGCAGCGACGCCGCGUGAGGGAUGACGGCCUUCGGGUUGUAAACCUCUUUCAGCAGGGAAGAAGCGAAAGUGACGGUACCUGCAGAAGAAGCGCCGGCUAACUACGUGCCAGCAGCCGCGGUAAUACGUAGGGCGCAAGCGUUGUCCGGAAUUAUUGGGCGUAAAGAGCUCGUAGGCGGCUUGUCACGUCGGUUGUGAAAGCCCGGGGCUUAACCCCGGGUCUGCAGUCGAUACGGGCAGGCUAGAGUUCGGUAGGGGAGAUCGGAAUUCCUGGUGUAGCGGUGAAAUGCGCAGAUAUCAGGAGGAACACCGGUGGCGAAGGCGGAUCUCUGGGCCGAUACUGACGCUGAGGAGCGAAAGCGUGGGGAGCGAACAGGAUUAGAUACCCUGGUAGUCCACGCCGUAAACGGUGGGCACUAGGUGUGGGCAACAUUCCACGUUGUCCGUGCCGCAGCUAACGCAUUAAGUGCCCCGCCUGGGGAGUACGGCCGCAAGGCUAAAACUCAAAGGAAUUGACGG